rnacentral:rRNA from 1 species
AUUGAACGCUGGCGGCAUGCCUUACACAUGCAAGUCGAACGGCAGCACGGACUUCGGUCUGGUGGCGAGUGGCGAACGGGUGAGUAAUAUAUCGGAACAUACCUUGUAGUGGGGGAUAACUAUCCGAAAGGAUAGCUAAUACCGCAUACGCUCUAUGGAGGAAAGCGGGGGAUCGUAAGACCUUGUGCUAUAAGAGUGGCCGAUAUCUGAUUAGCUAGUUGGUGAGGUAAAGGCUCACCAAGGCGACGAUCAGUAGCUGGUCUGAGAGGACGACCAGCCACACUGGAACUGAGACACGGUCCAGACUCCUACGGGAGGCAGCAGUGGGGAAUUUUGGACAAUGGGGGCAACCCUGAUCCAGCAAUGCCGCGUGAGUGAAGAAGGCCUUCGGGUUGUAAAGCUCUUUUGUCAGGGAAGAAACGGUUGUGGCUAAUAUCCAUGGCUAAUGACGGUACCUGAAGAAUAAGCACCGGCUAACUACGUGCCAGCAGCCGCGGUAACAC